UACGUAGGUGGCAAGCGUUACUCGGAAUCACUAGGCGUAAAGCGCAGGUAGGCGGUUCGGUAAGUCUCUUGUGAAAGCUCCCGGCUCAACUGGGAGAGGUCAAGGGAAACUACCGGGCUAGAGUGUGGCAGAGGAAGCUGGAAUUCCCGGUGUAGCGGUGAAAUGCGUAGAGAUGUGGAGGAACACCAAUGGCGAAGGCAGCCUUCUGGGCCAACACUGACGCUCAUGCACGAAAGCGUGGGGAGCAAACAGG
rnacentral:rRNA from 1 species